AUGAGCACGCAGGACGGCGAGAUGUCGGCCACCCUCCACCACCGCCCCCGCUCGCCGCUGGAAGACGAGGAUCUGCUCCCCGAGAUCCUCCUCCGCCUCCCGCCGCAGCCGUCCUCUCUCCCCCGCGCCUCCGCCGUCUGCAAGCGCUGGCUCCGCCUCGUCUCCAACCGCGGCUUCCUCCGCCGCUACCGUCGACACCACCGCCGCAGCCCUCCCCUCCUCGGUUUCUUCCGCAACGACCUGCGAGGUAUCUCCUACACGCCUGCCAUGGAGGCCCCCGAUCUUGUUCCCGCCGACCGCUUCUCCGUGCAUCUCCACGACGCCGGCUGCCGCUUCCGUCUCCUCAGCUGCCGCCACGGCCUCGUGCUCAUCUCCCACUCGUUGCGGAACCAGGUCCUGGUGUGGGACCCCGUCACCGGCGACCAGCACCGCAUUGCCGCUCCCCUGGGGUUCGACAUGAACAGUACCCCGAUGGACGGGGCGGUGCUUCGCGCUGCUGCUGGUCGGGCAUUCCAUUUACUGGCUGCUCCCUGGGGAUGA
rnacentral:rRNA from 1 species